rnacentral:snRNA from 1 species
AUCACUUCUUGGCCUUUUGGCUAAGAUUAAGUGUAGUAUCUGUUCUUAUUGGUUUAAAAUUAAUCGCAAUCUAUGCUGUAUGAAUAUAC